rnacentral:lncRNA from 1 species
CACCAUCAUCACCACCUAUAGAAGACCCAUUUGCAGUGCCAUCCAGUCCACCAGAAAGGAAGGCCUCAGAUCCCUUUGCAGCCCCAGCAGAGGGCUCACCCCAAGACACCAAAAACACUUGGGGGGCACCCUCUGCUCCAACUCAAACAAAUGGGAAAGAUCCUUGGGGAGCAGGAGCCUCUUCACCUAUUAAUGAUUCUGACCCGUUUGGAGAUGCAUCUAAACCAGAAAAUGACCCAUGGGGUGCCCCAGCGUCCGCUCCCAUCUCUGCUGAUGACGCAUGGGGAGCUCCUGCUCCUCCAUCACAGUCCUCUCCAUCCGCUGACCCCUUUGGAGAUGCAGCAUCCAAAUCUAAUGACCCCUGGGGGUCCCCUAGCAAUGACCCCACAGAAAACACCUUUUAGAGUAGAGCUGGACCUUUAUUUCAUUACAGGGAGGAGAUGAUCAGAAAGGCCGUGUCCUUCCUGGGCCCGGCGGGGGCGUCGCUGGUUGAUUUGGAUGAUCUGUUUUCCUCCAAACCCAGACAACACCCCCCAACAAACACGCCGGCCCCCCCAACACAAGCCAUGGGCUGUGCCCCCCUCCCUCGCUCCCUCUCCUCGUCCCUUCAAGCUUCUGUCAUUCCUCCUUUUUUCCCAGGCACUUUCACAGACAGCUCAUCUGGUCUCAUGGGUCCGUCAGGGGCUUUUCCCGAAAGCUCCGCCCCAUUCCACAACCCAUUUGGUUCCAGUCUCGCACCCACUCCAUAUGGUGCGGUGAAUCCCCUUUUGGAGCUGCAGGUGAACCCCACACAUUUCAGCCCCCACCAUAUAAUUUUGGAGGGUCUCAGUCUGCAGCUUGGGGGGUUCCUGAAGCGGCAAAGGUGCAGCUUGGGUCUCUGAGAGGGAGCGCUGAGGGAAGGAUGCAGUCUGGGAUGGCAUUGGGAGGAAACCUCCCGGCAGGUGUGGCUCACCUUUGCGGUUCCACCGCGACCAACAAGAACAACAACCCGUUUUUGUUUUGACAUUUCAUCACACCAGGAAAACAGCUAAUCACUUUAUUCACAGGAAAAAAAACAGCACAUUUUGGAAGAAAGCAAUAAAAUAUAUUUCAAUUCAGACUUUUCAGUUUGAUCCACCAUCAGCAGAACCAAUUCCAGUGGUGUUCAGAUGAUUGGACAGAAAAUGGUUCCCUCCUGGAGGUAGAAGGUGCGACUUUUUUAUUUCUGUUUUCCUUGGCAACAACCUAAAGUGACAUCACAGUCAAAAACAAAAAAAGUAAAGGAAAAUAUAUGUGUAUUGUAAUUUAACAUACAUAUCUAUUUUUAAUUUUUUUUCUUUUUCUAAAAAAAUUGAAGUAAAAGAACAAAAAUCCCGGUUACUAACAGUAACAGUAUCAGAUAAUUAAUCCCAAAAAAAAUUUUUUUUUUUUUUCUAAUUUAAGUUAUUGUUUCCUAAAAAAACUCCUAGUUACUAACUGAUGCACACCAGUUAAAACCUGGUGAAGACAGUUAGAAACAAAAUUUUAUUUGGUCUAAUUUUCUAGGAGAAAAGAACUAUUCAUUUUUUUUUUCAGUUUUUUUUCUUUAAUGUUUUCUUCAACCAAUUCUUUCUAAACCCUUGUUGUUAAUCAGACUUAUUAACAUUUGUAUUAAUAAUACUAAGAGUUAUAUCAUAAAGGUGUCCUUACCUGUGAGGAUGCCAUCCUUGCAAGAGGAACUAGAAAGCAAUGGAAUUCAGACAUUUCCUCCCAUUGCCAUGGUGACAGCUUAGUUCUUUAAAUAAUAGGACUGUCAAUUGAUGUGGUUAUAAUUGAAAUAUAUAUAUAUGAAGAUACUCAAAGGCUCACUCUGAUCAUCUUUUGAUCUAUUUGAACAUUGUUCCCUGUGGUUUUAAUUAGGAUUUUCUUUUUUUUAGCCAAAAUAAAAAAAAAUUAAAGUUAUUUUCUAGUAGAUUGUUACUGCAGUAAUUUACCUCUAAGUUGAGGGCACGGGACAACGACAUCACAAAUAUGUCUUUUUCAAAUUACAUUUUUUCAUCUGUUCCCGAUUGAUUUGGGCUUAGUUCUCUUUAUGUAUUUCCUCCAUUUGUCACAACAACAUGCUAUAAACAGUUUUGAUCAGAGUGGGCUUUUAAAUGAUCACAGAAACGAUAAACUGCUAAUCGUUCAUGAACGUCUUAUUUCUGAAAGAACAUUUUUCUGGUCAGUCGCACAGUUUUUUGCAGUCGCCUAGAGAUCUGAUGAGAAACAAAAUGCAUAAAAAUGUUUUAAAAAUGCAUCUAUUUAAAAUUUUCCCACCCAUGAGGGUUAGACUUGUGUGUUUCUUUGUGUGAGUGUGUAUGCGGUACAUAUUCACUAUAUAUUGUGCUGAUGUUUGUAAAUAAUGAAAGUAAAAACAGAGAAAACCUUAAAGUGUAUAUCAGAGUGUUACAAUGAUCUAUUUAUUGAAGCGUUUGUUGGUUUUUCGAUGUAGCAGCGGCCUUUCAAAGCGGCCAUCGUUUCGGAGAACGCGUGAUUGGUUCCUGUUCUAAACUCAUCGUGCGUUUGUGUGUGUUUUUCCCCCUCCAUCAGUGGAAAACGAGCCUCACUGAUGGCUGAAUACAAACUUGAACACAGCUUGUGCAUGCGGUUCGAGCUGCUCCUGUAAUCGUGCAUCUGCCUUUCAGUGAUCUUGAUGUGACUGAAUACAAUGCUGCAUUUCUGGAGUGGGAUGUCUUCUGUUUAAGUCCUGCUGAACGGACAAGGAAGACACAGCCGUUCAGUUCAAGGUGUUACACUCAAGAACAAGUCCACAUGAAUAUAAUUUUUCAGGUUUAUUUUGUAUUAAAUGGGUCUAUUGCUGUAUAUUUCAGUUUAAGGCUGUGUUGUAUUAUGUGAAAGCAUUCAGUAC